rnacentral:rRNA from 1 species
AUCACUUGUUCUUUAAAUAAGGACUAGUAUGAACGGCCUAACGAGGGCUACACUGUCUCCCCCCUCCAAUCAAUGAAACUGAUCCCCUCGUGAAGAAGCGAGGAUAUUAAUAUAAGACGAGAAGACCCCAUGGAACUUUAAACUAACAUCACCUCUCUAUAACGAGACCACAUGACUGCUAGUCUUUCGGCUGGGGCGACCACGGAGAAUAAUAAAACCCCCGAGAUGAAAGGAAACAUCCUUAUCCCAGAACUACUAUUCCAAGAAUCAACUAAUGACAUUAUUGACCCAAUAUUUGAUCAACGAACCAAGCUACCCUGGGGAUAACAGCGCAAUCCAUUUCAAGAGACCUCAUCGACAAAUGGGCUUACGACCUCGAUGUUGGAUCAGGGGAUCCUGGUGGUGCAGC